CAACUAAGCAAAACUUUGUUCAUGAACUGAGAGGGGGUGGGGGUUGGAGGGGAAGUGUAAAAGAAGGCUUGAUGCAAGUUUGGAGAAACAAAGUAAAAACAAAUCAACAAAGUAAAAACAAAUCCAGUUUCAAGAGUGAAUCUGAGGUUAGUUUUUGUCAUCAAGUUAAUGUGUGGACAGAACAGGAAAGAAAAGAGUUAAUGACAUUUCUAAGGAGGCAUAGAGCCUCAUUACACAUUUCAAGUGGCUUAGAGUUAACAGCUGUGUUUGGAAUCCUUGUUAAGUAGAUUUUACUUCAGAUGAACCUUGCAUAGUACUUUUAAAACUGAUGGUGUUUAGGCAGCAGUAAGGGAGUCCUACCUGUUGCUACCUGAACUCUGCCAGGUAAUGUACAGAAGUACAGCAUUCAUGAAAUGUGAAGUUAAUUUUGAUGUAGCAAGUCUGUGCAAGGUUUCAGUAUACAGUGUUUAAUAUCAGAAGGACACUUUUACCAUUAGAGUAGCUCAGGGGCCUACACUGUUUAUUUCUAUCAUAUAUCGCUGACUUCUGCUGAGCUACUGCAAUAAUAUAAGCUAAUUAAUGCUUUUGUUACUGACAUUAACAGUAUUAAAGCAAUCCUGGUAACAAAACAAUACCACCACCAACAGGCAAUGCUAGUAAAAGCAAUGUGGCAGUGCACAUGAAAAGCUGCCUCUUGUUAUAGCAGAAUACAAAAGCAGCAGAUAGAGAAUUGAUUGAAGGCACAAUUCUAUUUCCAGCAAUUGUUCUUAGCUGAAGAGCCAAAGGGUUUUCUGCUUCUUUAAUGGAAGAUUAACGGAGGAACCAAAGACUUAUCCAGAUAUAACAAAUGCCAAGGUUUAACUGGUCUGUGCAGUUGCAUUUAAACCCUAAUGGUUUCCACAAAAUAAGGCAGUGAAAUGCUGGUGGCAACAUUGUGAGGAAAGAGGUUUUGGUCCCUUACCAGCAUUACCAUCAAUAUGAAUCAUAGGCCAUAGUCAUCACUACACAGAUGUCAGCAUUAGAAUCAAAUGAGGUAUUUUCUCACUUUGUUCCAAUCUACUAGAAUAAAUGGAAGGUCAAUGUCUUAUUUUAAGUUGCUAAUUUUAGUCCUUCAUUCUGUUAAUUUGAAUCAAUUUUGUAGCAUAAGUUCACUUAUUUAAGCUCUUCACCACUUGAACCAUGAUUUAGGAAUGCCUAUGAAAACAUUAGCUAGUUAAUGUGGUUAAAAUAUGGUAUACAUUUGCAAGUAAUGUACUUUGUGACCACGUUCCCAGUUAGCUGCACAAAAAACCCACAUCAGAUUGCAGCAAGGUAUUUCUUAGAUAUAUUCAGCCUUUUUUGAAACCAGUUUUUCUUUUCUGAAAUAUUUUUUGUUUGUAAAGAUGACCAUGUUAGAAAGGCAGUGAUGUGCUGUACCAUGGUGUACUUUUGAUUCAGAAUCACCUAUAAUUUUUUUGUGUUAGAGACUCUUUUCCUGGUUGGAUUACAGACUGAAAGGCUGACCCUCAUUAUUUAAAGAGGCAUUAAAAUUUAAUGCAAAAAAUAAGUUUAUAUUCCAAGAUCUUCCACAUAAACCAUCAAAGAACUAGGAAGCAGCAUUAUUCUCCUAUGUGUCCUCCUACAGAGGACUCUUCUGCCCCAUCUUAUCUUUUAACUGAAGCACACUGGAAGGAACAUUGCAGUACUAGAACAUGUAGCUAUAAAGAGGUGCAAAUAUCCAGGACCUGGUACUUACCGAGUUUCCUUUUAUUGUAAUUUUCUUGGGAAAGAGAGAAACUUGUUCUAUCUGGCAAUUUAAGUAAAUAAGACUACUGUCUUCCUUUUAGUAUUAUAAUGGUCGAUAAUUCGGGACAAAGUUGUUAAAGCAGGUCAGGGACUCAGAGUAGAAUUUGGAUUCCUGCAGGGUAACACCUGACUGCCUACCCCUGAAGUGCUACAAUCGCAGUACAGAGAUGUGGCAGGGUCUUGUUAAAGCUUUGUACUACGUUCCCUUAUUGACACUGUAUCUCAUGUUCCAUAUUUCAGGCUCUUAUUCUAGUACUUCACAUGUUUCUUUCUCAUAUAACAUUGUUAGCAGAAUAUCCUAAGUGAAGAAAGGCAGUGGUUUUGGUCAGUGUCUUAUUCCUCAAACUCUGUAUUUCUGCAGAAUAAAACUAGGAAAUGAGUAAAUAUAUUGUUUGGACACAGAAUGCAUGGCGAGGUUUGUGCUGGAAUACUGCACUUGUGGAGAUGUGAGAUUAGAAAAGAAUUGAUAGGAUAAAAGACAAAGAGUUUUGUUACAGAGUUGUACUGGGAAACUAGCAUAGCAUCUGUCUUCUGUACCUUGUUCUAAGACUUAUAAAGUCCAUUUCUUCAACUAAAAUAAGCUCAGGUAACAGAACAUAAUUCAGCAUCUAUCCUCUUCAAGCAAACUGGAAUAUGAUACUUUCCGUAGAGUUAGAGGACAAGUUACAUCAUCUGGAUUUUUCACAUAUGCUGUUGAUUUAAAAGGACUGACUAGUUAGUUGUUGAUGGGUAGUGCUUGAAUUCAAGUACGCUAGACAGCUUUUAAAAAGGGGGGAGGGGGAAGAGAAGCAGACACAUUUUUUUCCCAUUGAAACUGGCAGGAUGAGCAGACACACAGCAGUCUUUAACUCACAUUCAACCAAGUUCUAUUAUAUUCAUACUUCCUACCAUGCAGUUCUGCAAGUUGGGCUGAAAAAAAAAAUUUGGUCAUCUCACAUUUACCUGUAGUACACAGGGGGAGGGAUUGAGAUAUUGAAGUAACGUCAGCCUCAUUAAAAAAGAGCAUUAGUACAGUUCUCCUGGAGGGGAAAUGACUGGAAGAUGAAUACAGUGAUCUUCUUUCAGAAACCCCCAGUUAUUUAAACAAGCAUCUUACAAAAAUCUAGGCACAGUUGUCCAAGGAAUAAAAAACAAAACAAAGGAUUGCCAAGGACCGCUAG